CACGUAGGGGACGAGCGUUGUCCGGAAUCAUUGGGCGUAAAGCGCGUGUAGGCGGCCCGGUAAGUCCGCUGUGAAAGUCCAGGGCUCAACCCUGGGAUGCCGGUGGAUACUGUCGGGCUCGAGUCCGGAAGAGGCGAGUGGAAUUCCUGGUGUAGCGGUGAAAUGCGCAGAUAUCAGGAGGAACACCAAUGGCGAAGGCAGCUCGCUGGGACGUGACUGACGCUGAGACGCGAAAGCGUGGGGAGCAAACAGG
rnacentral:rRNA from 1 species